GCAAACUUGGUCAUUUAGAGGAAGUAAAAGUCGUAACAAGGUUUCCGUAGGUGAACCUGCGGAAGGAUCAUUACCAAAGGAUUCAACGAUACACCGUGAACAGGAGGAGGAGAGUCCUGCGCCGAUUCAUUAGAAUGGGGGGGGUAGUGGACUACUACUACAAUUAAUUAGACUAGUUAUAUAAUUUUAAGCAGAGUCAGUCAUUAUUAUUAUGAAACAAAACAACAACUUUUAGCAACGGAUCUCUAGGUUCUCGCAUCGAUGAAGAACGCAGC
rnacentral:misc_RNA from 1 species